UUCUUCAACCCUCUUUCUUCGCAAAUUCAUAGCAGUCAGAUUCUUUGGUGUCAUGUUGCAAAUAUCAAAACUAGGGUCAUGUGUUAGAUCUAUGAAUUUGAGAAACCUUAUUCAGCUCAACAGAUCAACACAACAAGCAAUUGAAAAGGAAGAAAUUAAUCUGAGAAUUCAACAAAUUCCCUACAAAGAACAUAGCAGAAUCUGAAAUUGACAAAAAAUUCCACUGGCUGAGUCAUAGCAAAUUAGCAAUUGAGAUAAUUCCAUUUGUUUAUUUGACAGCUUGAUGCAUAAGAGGGUUCAGAUGAUUUUGGAUGACAAAGGGCAAAGGGUAAAGGAGAGGGGUAUAAAAUAUACAGAUUGUCUUGGCCCUUGUUGAAGAUGGGAGAGCACUCCAUGGUCUUUCUAUGGGUGGAUGUGGAAUGUUUAUCUAAAUCAGUAGCAAACUAGGGUCCUUGUAGGUUAUCUCUCUGCAUUAAAACAAGGCAAUGAUGAUGGAAGUGAAGCAUGAUCAGCAAUUAGAUAGAAUGAGUCAACGAGCUUUAAUAAAGGUCCAGAAGAAUAUUGAUUGAUUUUGCGGAAGCACUUCAGAGUAAACUCAAUUACUUUGGUGAACUAGAGAAUCUAAGUUAUUAUGGGAGAAAUAGUGUUCAAUGGAUUCUGUUUAUGCUUGGAUGCAUAUUUGUGGUUUUUAAUUAUCUCCUUGACAUUCAUUCAUUUUGCUAUUGUUGGAGGUGGGCCAACUGGAGUGGAAUUUGCAGCCUCACUUCAUGACUUUGUCGAUGAUGAUUUGGAUGAGCUUCAGCUCUUGGCUAGGCAGCAUAUGGCGAUCCUGGAGACACUGCCAGAAUAAGGGUAUCACUGCCUUCCAUUAUUAGGUUCUUAGAGUGCCGAAGAUAUGAAAGUGGUGAUACAAGAGAUGCCUCAAGUAAUGUAAAAUAAAAAAGUAGAAAGUCCUUAAGAUGUUCUUGUUUCUUGUACUUUAGAUUUGCUCUGAGAAAUCCCAAUUGACUGAUAUAUAUACUGAUAUAUAUAUAUAUAUAUAUAUAUAUAUAAAUAUAUAUAAUUUUUUUUUUCUAGAAUUGCUUGGAGUAAACUUAGAUUGAACUACUUAUGCUUAAGUUAUUUUGAAUUAUUUGGUUAUUAAUUAAGCAU